rnacentral:rRNA from 1 species
GACGAACGCUGGCGGCGUGCUUAACACAUGCAAGUCGAACGGAAAGGCCCUGCUUUUGUGGGGUGCUCGAGUGGCGAACGGGUGAGUAACACGUGAGUAACCUGCCCUUGACUUUGGGAUAACUUCAGGAAACUGGGGCUAAUACCGGAUAGGAGCUCCUGCUGCAUGGUGGGGGUUGGAAAGUUUCGGCGGUUGGGGAUGGAAUCGCGGCUUAUCAGCUUGUUGGUGGGGUAGUGGCGUACCAAGGCUUUGACGGGUAGCCGGCCUGAGAGGGUGACCGGCCACAUUGGGCCUGCGAUACGGCCCAGACUCCUACGGGAGGCAGCAGUGGGGAAUAUUGCACAAUGGGCGGAAGCCUGAUGCAGCAACGCCGCGUGCGGGAUGACGGCCUUCGGGUUGUAAACCGCUUUCGCCUGUGACGAAGCGUGAGUGACGGUAAUGGGUAAAGAAGCACCGGCUAACUACGUG